ACGUAGGUGGCGAGCGUUAUCCGGAAUUACUGGGCGUAAAGGGCACGCAGGCGGUCUAUCAAGUCUGACGUGAAAGCUCCUGGCUUAACUGGGAGAGGUCGUUGGAAACUGAUAGGCUUGAGGCAAUGAGAGGGGUGCGGAAUUCCAGGUGUAGUGGUGGAAUGCGUAGAUAUCUGGAGGAACAUCAGUGGCGAAAGCGGCACCCUGGCAUUGACCUGACGCUCAUGUGCGAAAGCGUGGGGAGCGAACGGG
rnacentral:rRNA from 1 species